UUAGAACCAGCGUGGGUCGAGGAUAGC
rnacentral:sRNA from 1 species